CCUGUGGCAUGUGGAAGCUCCUGGGUCAGGGAUCAAAUGUGAGCCGCAACUAUCACCGGUGUGGCUGGGGAUCGAACCCACACCAUCACAGCGACACCACUGGAUUGCUAACCUGAUGUCCCACAGCAGGAACUCCAGCAUACAAUAUUAUUUACUCCCUCGUUUUUGUCUACUAGUUUAUGAUUUUUUACUAUUACUGAUAGCAAUUACAUAUCCUUCCACCCUCACACAUGCUGGAACUUGCCUGUGUGCAAGUAGAAAGGAUACCCUCUCUGGGAAGACAAGACUGACUCUAAUCAGGAGGUGGGGCCUGGCCAGGAAAGCCCAGUGUAGAUUAUUUCCAUCGCCCACCCCUCAGCCAGGCAUCUAUACACCACUGUCUUAUUAGCUGCCCUAAAUCUGCACCUUUAAUCAUUGCCUGAGAAUACAGUCAAAGUAUACUCCCUAGAUCAGAAUAAUAUGAACUUUUUUUUUUUGGUCUUUCAAAAUAUUAACCAAAAUAUUAACCAAACUGCCCUUUGUACAGUCGCCACCAAUUUAUAUCACAACCGGGAGAAGCAAUACAGGUAGAUCCGUUCCCUUCUAUUUCCCAACACACCGCACGCUGCCUAGCAAGCUUUCAGAGAUCAAUAAAGGUGUGUCAAAUGAACAAGGGACGCUAAGGAUGAGAAACAAAAGAAAAAUUAACUCCUCUUUGUAUCAGCUGUGGGGAUAUUUCUUACCUAAGGAAGGAGGGCCUUAAUUAUAUAACUGGUAUUUUUUAGAUACAGUUAAGCCAUGGACUACAAUAAACAUUCAAUUUUCUGAAGUAUUCAUAGCACAACACCACACAUUUCUAUGGCAUUGGGGGAGUUACAAAGUAUUCUAAUGAUAUUAUUUGUUCUGAAAACAGUUCUGUGAGCUGAGAACAUGAACUGUUUUAAGAACCAUUUGACAAUGAUGACCAGAGGUUAAUUACCUAUGCAAAGUAACAAGUUAGAUAAAGUUAGGAUCCUUAUAAAACCUGAGUUAGUCCCACAUGUUAGUGCACAGCGCUGUAUGGUAUAUCUUUGAAACCAUAGUUCCUGUUGCAGCUCAGUGGUAACAAACCCGACUAGUAUCCUCAAGGACGCAGGUUCGAUCCCUGGCCUCCCUCAGUGGGUUAAGGAUCCGGCGUUGCCAUGAACUGUGGUGUAGGUCACAGACACAGCUCGGAUCCCACAUUGCUGUGGCUAUGGUGUAGGCUGGCAGCUGCAGCUUUGAUUCGACCCCUAGCCUGGGAACUUCCCUAUGCUGUGGGUGCGACCCUAAAAGACCAAAAAACUAAUAAUAAUAAUAAUUAAAAAGUUAAGUGAUAACGGUGUAUAUACCUAUUCAAUUCAGUUACCAUAACUUUGAAAGCUGCUUAGGGAACUGCAUUUCAGUCCGAGAUAUUACGUAACAGAUCCAUGUUGGCCUUGCUUGUGUCAAGGUUUCUGAUCUAUAAGUUGCCUUUUCUCAUUUAAAGUUAUUUUAGCUUCAUCUGUCGUGGUGAGUUAUCUUGGGAACUAAAAAUAUUUGAAGGUUAAUCUAAAUAUUUCUGGAGAUAAAUGCAAAUCUAAGUGCGACGUUCUCAUCGCUAUUUUGACUGAAAAUGAAAAGAGACACUAAAGACACAAAGCUGGAAGCUUGUUGCUAGGUGACAGGUGACACCUACCAUAUCUCUUCUGAACCUGUACAGCAUGAGACAUCUUACUGCGGAGAAAAGACACAGGGAUUUCCAGGGCAGACACAUCAUUUUCUGCAGAGAAGCAAACUAAUGCCCAGAGAUUUUUAAAUACAGGCCGUGGGUAGUCAGGAAAUCACAUGUAUAUGAAUAUCUGAUUUUUGAGAUGCCUCUCACAAUAAAGAAGAAAGGAUAGCUCU
rnacentral:lncRNA from 1 species